ACGGUGUCCUUUUCUCACCUUGUUUUAAAAUUCAGGUUUCUUAUGUAAACUAGUGUUUCCCAAACACGAACACACUGCGGCCGUCUUCACGCAACAAGUAUUGGAAAAUCUUAUCUACACAAGGACAUAUUCGCAAGCAUAAUGCAGAACUGGUAUAGAUAUACGAGUAGGUUACAGAGUUAAUUACAUAUGUCCUUUUCAAUAUCAAUUCCGACUGUCAAUGAUAACAUCGUUUUCUUGUCUCCAAUGGUAACACGGUCAAGUUACGGUGUGAAAUGGCUUUUAAUUUUUUCCAAUGUUAAACGUGUGAUAUAAAAUCUGUUUGGGGUAUAUACUUUGUUGUCUUUUGUCACUAGGUCACCUAAACCAUAGCUGAAUUUUAUGGUUUAAGUUGUCUGAGAUAUAUUUUUUGUUACUGGAUUAAACGAGCCACAGAAUAAGCCCAAUGCUAGUUUGACAAAUGUAGAUUGACAGCGAGGGCAGUUGGUAUUAUUAUUUUUGCUUCUGUUCUACCUUGGGGCAGUAGUCCACCUUUAUACUAAAGGCUGGAAGAGAAGAACCUUAAUAUUAAACCAAGUUUCGAGAACUUUUUGGUGACUUGAUUGGUUCCCUUCCCCUAAUUUUCACAGGAUGAUUUCCGUGAAGUUUAUCUUGAUCACCAUUCUAUGAUAUUUCUGGAUACUUUUGUGAAGCUUUUUCUGUAUACCUGACAAAAUAGUCAACUAGUCGAUAAUUUGGAUUUCUUGGGAGUUCAAUUUGAUGCCGUAGGGUUCGGCGCACCAAGGACGACGACAAAUUGUCACAGCCGGUGGAUCUCUCGAACACGGCUGGAGUCGUCUGGACGUUUGAUGAUGAUGGGAGUACUUAUUUACUAGUGUAUGUAAGUUAUUUCCUCUUGCUGGAUGUGGGGCAUCUUUUGUUUCUCUUUGGCGCGCAGCCAGUCCAUCUCCAUGCCCCUGCUUUGGUCCGCUCAAGUAGCCGUCAGGUGUUGGAUCGUGGAUCAGUGAGCAGUGCCUGACCAUGACAAGUGAGCGACCACACAAAUUUCGUGCGAAAGACCAGAUUCUCCG